rnacentral:rRNA from 1 species
AUUGAACGCUGGCGGCAGGCUUAACACAUGCAAGUCGAGCGGGGAAAGGUAGCUUGCUACCUGACCUAGCGGCGGACGGGUGAGUAAUGCUUAGGAAUCUGCCUAUUUGUGGGGGACAACAUCUCGAAAGGGAUGCUAAUACCGCAUACGUCCUACGGGAGAAAGCAGGGGACCUUCGGGCCUUGCGCUAAUAGAUGAGCCUAAGUCGGAUUAGCUAGUUGGUGGGGUAAAGGCCUACCAAGGCGACGAUCUGUAGCGGGUCUGAGAGGAUGAUCCGCCAGGCUGUGACGGAGACACGGCCCAGACUCCUGCGUGAGGGAGCGGUGGGGAAGAGUGUGCGGUGGAGGGAACGCUGAUCCAGCCAUGCCGCGAAUGUGAAGAAGGCCUAUUUGUUGUAUGGCACUUUAAGCGAUGAGGAGGCUACCGAGAUUAAUACUCUUGGAUAGUGGACGGUACUCGCAAAAUAAGCACGGGCUAACUCUGUG